rnacentral:rRNA from 1 species
AGCUAGUAGGUGGGGUAACGGCUCACCUAGGCGACGAUCCCUAGCUGGUCUGAGAGGAUGACCAGCCACACUGGAACUGAGACACGGUCCAGACUCCUACGGGAGGCAGCAGUGGGGAAUAUUGCACAAUGGGCGCAAGCCUGAUGCAGCCAUGCCGCGUGUGUGAAGAAGGCCUUCGGGUUGUAAAGCACUUUCAGCGGGGAGGAAGGCGGUGAGGUUAAUAACCUCAUCGAUUGACGUUACCCGCAGAAGAAGCACCGGCUAACUCCGUGCCAGCAGCCGCGGUAAUACGGAGGGUGCAAGCGUUAAUCGGAAUUACUGGGCGUAAAGCGCACGCAGGCGGUCUGUCAAGUCGGAUGUGAAAUCCCCGGGCUCAACCUGGGAACUGCAUUCGAAACUGGCAGGCUAGAGUCUUGUAGAGGGGGGUAGAAUUCCAGGUGUAGCGGUGAAAUGCGUAGAGAUCUGGAGGAAUACCGGUGGCGAAGGCGGCCCCCUGGACAAAGACUGACGCUCAGGUGCGAAAGCGUGGGGAGCAAACAGGAUUAGAUACCCUGGUAGUCCACGCCGUAAACGAUGUCGAUUUGGAGGUUGUGCCCUUGAGGCGUGGCUUCCGGAGCUAACGCGUUAAAUCGACCGCCUGGGGAGUACGGCCGCAAGGUUAAAACUCAAAUGAAUUGACGGGGGCCCGCACAAGCGGUGGAGCAUGUGGUUUAAUUCGAUGCAACGCGAAGAACCUUACCUGGUCUUGACAUCCACAGAACUUUCCAGAGAUGGAUUGGUGCCUUCGGGAACUGUGAGACAGGUGCUGCAUGGCUGUCGUCAGCUCGUGUUGUGAAAUGUUGGGUUAAGUCCCGCAACGAGCGCAACCCUUAUCCUUUGUUGCCAGCGGUUAGGCCGGGAACUCAAAGGAGACUGCCAGUGAUAAACUGGAGGAAGGUGGGGAUGACGUCAAGUCAUCAUGGCCCUUACGACCAGGGCUACACACGUGCUACAAUGGCAUAUACAAAGAGAAGCGACCUCGCGAGAGCAAGCGGACCUCAUAAAGUAUGUCGUAGUCCGGAUUGGAGUCUGCAACUCGACUCCAUGAAGUCGGAAUCGCUAGUAAUCGUAGAUCAGAAUGCUACGGUGAAUACGUUCCCGGGCCUUGUACACACCGCCCGUCACACCAUGGGAGUGGGUUGCAAAAGAAGUAGGUAGCUUAACCUUCGGGAGGGCGCUUACCACUUUGUGAUUCAUGACUGGGGUGAAGUCGUAACAAGGUAACCGUAGGGGAACCUGCGGUUGGAUCACCUCCUUA